CUUUAAAUUGCAAUUUACGGAAGUAUAGCCACCUUUACGUCUUUCAGGGGAGUGGCUGGUUCCUUUUACUUGACACAGCAACUUCUGAAGCCUGCUUGGCUCUGGAGAAUGAGCCUUCUUCCAUCUGUGUGUGGAACGAGAGAGCAGGACAGAAGGAGAGGUGUUCGCCAAGAACACUCAACAGGAGCAGUUGAAGAAGGACCAGGGAGGAAGGAAGAGUGAGCAGCAAGGAGGAGGGACUGAAAAGAGAGAGGACCCCAGAAGCAUGCCUGGAGGAAAAGGGGGGAUGAGGAGAACUGCCAGAGGCAGCCAGGCCAGGGCUGGGCAGACAGGGUUGACUAGGAUCCACCUGAAUUUACCUGCUUGGCCAGGUAGCCUCAAACCUCAGUGAAAGUCAGUGGUGCCCAAUCACUUUUUGAGAGUAGAGUUCGGAAGUCUUAAUUAGGGAUGCGGAGAGGGGGAGAUCUUAGAUCAAUGUGGGGAGAAGAGAAGGAAACAGCCAUGAGAAUUGGAAUGUGAAUGAGGGGGAGAAUUCAGCAGGAGGUUGCCAGGUGGCAGGUGACAGUGUUCCCUGGGCACUCAGUCAGUGCUGGGGUGUUGGGGUCAGUUUCCUGCCGACCGGGAGGAGGGUCCAGCCCGUUUUCUAGACUGUAAUAGGAAUGAGGCUGGCAGGUUUGGGUGCCCCAGGAACCUGAUCCUUGACUUCUGGAGAGAAAGACCCAGAAAAGAAGGAAAGCACUGAAGGUUUUCCCAGAGGUUUGGUUCUCUAUUUCACUUAUGAUCAGCAGUUUCAUUUGAUUCACAAGUUGUCAGAAGAAAGUGCCCAAGACAUCUAAUUAGACUCAGCCUCUGACGCUCACUGGAACCCACCUGAAUCAGCUGCUCCCCAGAAGAAGAUUACUACACACAAGGUGGACUGACCCAGGCCGCUCCUUGGCCCAGAUCUGCAGUUUAGACCCCACCCUGUCAUCAGCUGCCUUGAAGUGGUCUUACAAUCAUGUCCCUGCAGUGCCUGUGGCAGGCAUCAUGCAAGUUGCCCUUGAAGAUACCCAGAUGUCUUGGUGACAGGUUCCUGACCACCUGGAUGAGAGGUGGGCCAUCAGAUCGAUAUCACACAGGGGCCGUGAGCCCAGACUGCAGGCAUGUGCAUGUGAGGUUGGAGGUGGUGGAAAGAAGGCAGAUCCUUUGGCUACGCCCAAAGUGCCUGGCAACAAAGAGUGUCCAGCUCACAUUUCAAAUCUUUCCUUUCCUCUUCUUUCUCCUUCCUCACUGGCUACGGCCAUCCAUAAAGAGCUCCAAGCCCUCAUGCAUAGAGGGUGUUCAAUGAGUGGGGAAGGCCCAGUCUGUGCUGGAGGGACAGCUGCCUCCACGUUCAGAGACCUGCAGCUCGUAAGACAAAGUUUGUCCCCCAGCUGUUUCUUCAUCAUCACCCGGUAUCCCUUGAAAUUUGCUGACUCUUCAUUUUCGUGGUGAGGGGCCUUAUAUUCUGGUUGGAAGGGAGGACGGGGGGAUAGGAAGGAUUGUGAGAAACGUGGUUCUCUAUUUUCAGAAUAAAGAACUUCAGCCUCUCCACUUCCCCAAGUGAGGCUUUCCCUACAGGCACAUUUUCUGGUUCAGAGGCUGCCCAAGAAGGACAGUGAGGGUCAUUUCAAAUCACAUCUCGUUGCUCUCUGAGACCUGGCUUCCCAGAGAUAAGGCGUGGUCGUCUGGAAAGGAGCCUGUUGGAUAGGCGAAGUUCUGCUGGACCACAUUCCAAGGAACUCGUCUGACACUCCACUCUUCUGAGAUUGGCUCCCAUUAGCAGUUACUGGAAACAAGCAGGUUGUCAACAGGGCACGGCCAGGAGUGUGGUGUGUAGUAGAGCGUUUCAUGGGGUAGACCACUGAUGAGGUGCAGACAUGAACCCAGAAGUCCAGCAAGGCAGCAGCGAUGGGCCUGAUAGGGUCUGAGGAUUUCUCCUCCAGGAGCUCCUGGCCGGGCCAGGGCUCCUCUGUCGGUUUGCUCAGCAUCGACAGAGCCCAGCUCGAGACUUAGAUUCUUGAUCCGUCAGAGAUGCACGGCAACUCAACUGCAGAAAGCAGGGUGGGGAAGCUGUAUUACAAGUCAUAACAAGUUCACUGGAAACAUGGGCCAGAUGCUUGCUUCUAAAAAGAAAUGCUCCUCUCAAAGCAGGGCUCUUUCGAGUGCACCCCGAGAUGUGCCUGGGUGGGUCCUUCCUCUGUGUCUUUCUGUCUAUGCCAGGGUCUCGAUGUCUGUAGCCACUGUGAGACACACCCCUGCUAAGAGACUGCUUACAGCAGGGCCGCGCAUCCUUUCUGAG
rnacentral:lncRNA from 1 species